AAUAGAUACCCGGGUAGUCCACCCCGUAAACGUUGGGAAACUAGUUGUGGGGGCCAUUCCACGGUCUCCGUGACGCAGCUAACGCAUUAAGUUCCCCGCCUGGGGAGUACGGCCGCAAGGCUAAAACUCAAAGGAAUUGACGGGGACCCGCACAAGCGGCGGAGCAUGCGGAUUAAUUCGAUGCAACGCGAAGAACCUUACCAAGGCUUGACAUAUACGAGAACACUGCAGAAAUGUAGGACUCUUUGGACACUCGUAUACAGGUGGUGCACGGUUGUCGUCAGCUCGUGUCGUGAGAUGUUGGGUUAAGUCCCGCAACGAGCGCAACCCUCGUUCUAUGUUGCCAGCACGUUAUGGUGGGAACUCAUGGGAUACUGCCGGGGGUCAACUCGGGAGGAAGGUGGGGACGACGUCAAAUCAUCGAUGCCCCUUAUGUCUUGGGCUUCACGCAUGCUACAAUGGCCGGUACAAAGGGCUGCGAUACCGUAAGGUGGAGCGAAUCCCAAAAAGCCGGUCCAGUUCGGAUUGAGGUCUGCAACUCGA
rnacentral:rRNA from 1 species